CUUACAAACAAAAGCAGAUGUCUCCUUCUCGGGGAAACUUCUCCUGGACAAAGUCCCAGCUAUCAGUUAUUCAACCAAGCUUGGCCAGUGUUUCCAGUCCUCAAUACUUCCCCUGAGUCAGGACGCGAUUGGUGUCACUGCUGUCCCUGAUGAAAGAGCCCCGAUAGCUCUACUUGAUGAAGACUGCAUCCGCGUGGCAAGACCGAUCCUGCUCGCCAUCUGGAUUUCUGACCCCUUGUCUCAAUGAGCUCCUUCCACACCCCAGCUCUGGGUCAAGACUGCUGCUUCGGCUUUGUCCGUUCAUCUAGAUUCUGAUGUCCUGGAAGGUUGAACCCAGCUCUCUGACCAAUGUGGGAUGUCGGCCUACUUCAGGGUCUCAACCAAAAGGCCCUUGGCUGUAGGGCUCUAUCUGGUCAGUAGGGGGACCACGCAGCAGUAGGAUAAGCUGAUAAAUUCAAUACAUCUUCCUCCCCGGAACACCCUCAACCGUCAUUAACCGCCACUAACAACCAUGGGGACCUGGUGAAGGACGUGUAUGGAUUAGUGGAGAGCCACUCAUGGUCUGAAGAACAACUCCUAACGUAUGGAAUAAGGAACAAGGGUUCACCUUAUAUGCCUCCCUCUCCAAGUCACCACUUCCGGUGCCACCUUGCCCCUCUCUCAUGAGGACCGGCUUACCCCCUCCUAGAGUAUAACCAUGUGGCCUGUGUCAUUAUCUUCUGUCUUGUGGACAUCACAUCUCAGCAUCCAGCACAUCACAUCUCAGCAGCCAGCACAUCACAUCUCAGCAUCCAGCACGGCAGGUGACAG